AUGCCUGUUAGUUACACUAACCUUCGAAACUCUGACUGUGACUUCACCAUAGUUAAAUAUCUUAAAAGAUUCGAAGCUUGGAUAGGCAAUGCCGCAUCUAUGGGAGGCAGACUUACUCUGCUCGACUCGGUCCUCACCCAAUUAUCUAUUUUUCACAUGUCUAUGUGGCUCAUGAAUAAAACAUUCACUAAAAAGUUGGAUAAACAUAGGCGGAGAUUUUUCUAG
rnacentral:rRNA from 1 species